rnacentral:lncRNA from 1 species
AUGGAUUAUGGAUGGAGAAUGAAUUGAGCUCGAGAAAGGUUUUGCGAUAUUUUGAAAUUAGAUUUUCAAAUAGGUUUUGAAGUUUUUGAGUUCGAGUGAUUCUUGGAUUUAAAUUUUCGGGUUGUUACAAACCUAGCCCAGUUAAAAUGAAUCUCGUCCUCGAGAUUUGGCUGGUUCCUAAAUAGAUGGGGAAAGUCUUUUCUUAGAGCAUCUUCUCGCUUUCAGGUCACUUCUGCUUCAUUGUGUUGG